rnacentral:rRNA from 1 species
UACGUAGGGGGCUAGCGUUGUCCGGAAUCAUUGGGCGUAAAGCGCGUGUAGGCGGUCCGGUAAGUCCGCUGUGAAAGUCGGGGGCUCAACCCUCGGAUGCCGGUGGAUACUGUCGGGCUUGAGUACGGAAGAGGCGAGUGGAAUUCCUGGUGUAGCGGUGAAAUGCGCAGAUAUCAGGAGGAACACCAAUUGCGAAGGCGGUUCUCUGGGACGGUACUGACGCUGAGACGCGAAAGCGUGGGGAGCGAACAGG